GGCUCGAUGGAAGACAGGGUGACGUGAGGUUUUCGAAUGCAUCGGGUAGGAUAUGGAUAAAUCCGGUGGCGAGAAUGACUCCGGCAGCGAAGGCCUUGAUCACGAAGAAGAUGUCCUUGUCGGGACGGAGCGCAGGUAUCCAUUUGCCCAGGAUGGGAAUGCAUACGCCAAAACCUCCGCAGACCAGGAUAGAAAAUAUUGCCGCGAUCUUGAGCGGCAGCGCCUUCUUCUUAUCGCGGCUUUCCUCGUCAGCCGAGCAGUCACAGUCGCCGCGAGCAACGAGAGGAAGCAGCAAAACAAUGAGAAAGACGAAGCACCAAACGCCUCUC
rnacentral:lncRNA from 1 species